rnacentral:rRNA from 1 species
ACUCCUACGGGAGGCAGCAGUGGGGAAUAUUGCACAAUGGGCGCAAGCCUGAUGCAGCCAUGCCGCGUGUGUGAAGAAGGCCUUGGGUUGUAAAGCACUUUCAGUCGUGAGGAAGGUAGUGUAGUUAAUAGCUGCAUUAUUUGUACGUUAGCGACAGAAGAAGCACCGGCUAACUCCGUGCCAGCAGCCGCGGUAAUACGGAGGGUGCGAGCGUUAAUCGGAAUUACGUGGGCGUAAAGCGCAUGCAGGUUGGUUUGUUAAGUCAGAUGUGAAAGCCCGGGGCUCAACCUCGGAAUAGCAUUUGAAACUGGCAGACUAGAGUACUGUAGAGGGGGUAGAAUUUCAGGUGUAGCGGUGAAAUGCGUAGAGAUCUGAAGGAAUACCGGUGGCGAAGGCGGCCCCUGGACAGAUACUGACACUCAGAUGCGAAAGCGUGGGAGCAAACAGGAUUAGAUA